CUAAUAUAAUGCUAAUUAGAUCACUUGCUGAAGUGGGGUCGCCGAUGAGCACACAGCCAUCCUAGAGAAGCCCCUCGGUACCAGCCAGUUAACACAUUGCCAGACAGCUGGCCCAGUGUGGCUCAAUAUUAAUCAUUUUUGUGAUAAAAAAAAAAACAACAACCCAGAAAUCCAAAUGUAAAUAAAAUCCUCUCAUUGUUCAUUUGUUGCCAAUUAAUUUUCUUUUAUCCCUCUAUAGGCCAACACUGAAUGAACUCAGAUUGAGAUUGUCAGGGCGGUUUGCAAGCUCUAGUCUGAAGGCAGUUGUCCCUACUUCCUUAUUGUCACAGAGAAGAAGUGAUUAGGCUAUCAUAAGGGGGACUCUGCAAACAAAGCCGAUUAAGUAUCUCUUGGAUACAAUAUCACAGACACUUAAGCCUUGAACAGGUGAAAUUUGUCAAGUAAGCAAUCCCCUGAUGGUUUGUCCAGUGAAAAAAAAUUGUUUUGUCUUGUUGAUGUCAUUUUAGAGUACACUUUGCUGGAGUGAACAAUUCCUCAUUCUCGAUUCACAUAGUUUCUUAUUAAACAAAUGAAAUCAUAGAAUCAUUGGUCGUGUCUCAGAAAUCACUAAAAAUAUCUGAGGCUCUUUUCAAAUCAUGAAACUAGAAAUUCAUUUAUACAUUUUUUAAUCAAAUAUCAAUUACUGAUGGAAUGCCUACUUGUACCAAGCACAUCUUAAGGAUAGGAAUUUAGCAGAUGGAAAACCAAAACCAAAAACCAGGUCUCCAUCCUUACUUUUUAAAAAUUUCAGGAUGUGAUUAAGCCACGGCAACUAUAUCCAUUCUGAUUAAUAUCCAACUUGUUCUCUACGUCUCCACUUAGAUCUCUCAUGGGCAUCUCAAACCUACCACGCCCAACACUGAAUUCUUGAUUUCUCCCUCCUAACUUUGGCCCUGGCAUAGACUUCUUCAUGUCCAUAUAAUGAUUGAGAGAAGACUUACUUGAUGGGCCAGAGCAACAUUGGCUGUGGAGCUGGAGUUUAUCUGGAAACGUUUCAACCAAGCCGUUAAGUUGAGGGAAGCAUACAAGCAAGGCCACUGCCAAGCUCUGAAGACACAUAAAACUUUCAGUGUGAAUUUGUGAAAAUAUCUGAAGCUGCACAAACCAGGCAGGCUCUGAGCUGGGAGAAAGGAAGCCUGCAUCCUAAGAUGAUCUCUGCUCUUCCAACAACUAACUGUGUGAUCUUGACUGGACCCUUGCCUUUUCACGGGUCAAACUCUUUAUCUCCUUGUCUCUGAAAUAUUGCAUGGGAUCAGAAUUCCGGUAGGCCAGAGAUGCAGUUUAUUUGAUUCACACAGGGCUCUUCCUCUCUCCCUCCCUCCCUCCCUCCCUCCCUUUCUUCUUGCUUUUAAUCAAAGAUUCUGGAGCAUUUAAAAACUCCUCAUAACGACAAGGAGAUACCUCUACUCACCUGCCAGAAUAGCCAAGAUCCAGGACACUGAAAACACCAAAUGCUGGUGAGAAUGUGGAGUAACAGGAACUGUCAUUCAUUGCUUGUAGGGGUGCAAAAUUGUACAAGCGAUUUGGAAGACAGCUUAGUGGUUUCUUACAAAACCUAAUAUACUCUUACCAUACCACCCAGCAGUUGGGCUCCUUGGUAUGUACUCAAAAGAGUUGAUGACUGAUAUCCACACAAAAGCCUGGACACAGAUGUUUAAGCAGCUUCAUUUAUGACUGCUUAAAUGUGGAAGCAACCAAGAUGUCCUUCGGUGGGUGAAUGGAUAAAUAAACUGCGGUACAUCUAGACAACAGAAUAUUUUUCAGUGCUAAAAAGAAAAUGAGCUAUGAAGCAAUAAAAAGAAAUGAAUGAGUCUUAAAUACAUAUUACUGAAUGAAAGCAGCUAAUCUGAAAAGGCUACCUACUGUGCGGUUAUGGACUCAUAUGACAUUCUGGAAAAGGCACAACUAUAGAGACGAUAAAAAGAUCAGUGGUUGUCAGGAUUGGAGGGAGGGAACAAUAGGUCAUACGUUUGUCCAGACCCAUAGAAUGUACAACACCAAGAGUUAACCUCGGUGUAAACCAUCCACUCUGGGGAAUGAUGAUGAGUUAAUGUAGGUUUAUCAGUUGUAACAAAUGUAGCACUCUGGUGGGCAAUGUUGAUACUGGGGGAGGCUAGGCAUGUGUGGGGGAAGAAAAUAUACAGGAACUCUGUACUUUCCACUCUGUUUCUGCUUAGCUUCCAUUUAUCUAAGAUGGCUACAAAAAGUAAAGUUUAUUAAUUAAAACAUUUUUGGUGGCCAGGGCACCUGGUGGCUGAGUCGGUUAAGCGUCCGACUUUGGCUUAGGUCAUGAUCUCGCAGUUCGUGAGUUCAAGUCCUCCAUCGGGCUCUCUGCUGUCAGCGCGGACCCCACUUAGGAUCUGUCUCCCUCUCUCUCUGCCCCUCCCUUGCUUGCUCUGUCUCCCCCCCUCUCUCAAAAAUAAAUAAACAUCAAAAAAAAAAUGUUGGUGGGUAUUUGGAAUUGAGAAGCCAUGUGGCGCAUUGGAAAUAACAUGGCAUUCGGGAUCAGACAAACAUUAUUUGAAACUAUACAUGCGUGGGAGUAUAUGGGAAAUCUCUGUACCUUCUGUUCAAUUUGUUGUGAACAUAAAACUCUAAAAACAGUCUAUUAAAAAUAAAUAUAAAAAGUAAGUA